CAAUAUGUUUAAGAAAAGGAUGCACAAGAACCACCAUUCAGGGACUAGCUUAUAUUUUCUCAUGAGUUUUGUGUGCACAUCCAUUUUCUUCUCUUGGAAGGCAGACUUGCUUAGCUGCCAUAUAUCUCUUCCGUGAAAAAGGAAAACAUGAACAACAGUGGCUGCCAGGCAUGCAAAAUUUAGACCAUAAAUCAUUGCAAAGAUGGUACUGAGAUAGAGAGGUCCCUGAUGCUCAUAAGCAUCCAUGUCAACGUGGAAAUUCUCGUCUAUAAUAGCUGAGAUAUUGUAUUUUUGGCCAUCGGAUGUGAACAGGCCAUCUGAGAAUAUGGGAAACGCCUUAGCCUUGUAAACAUUGAGCCAAUACGCAAUUGGGGUAACGACAUACAUAAAAAGAGCAAAACCAACAGCUAGAUUGGCAGUUGCAAACCAUGGACUAACCAUCGGACUCCCAAGGUAAGAAGAUACACUGGCCCAAUCUAAUCCAAAAGAGCCAACUCCAAGACCACGGAGUCCUGAACCAAGCUGAUGGGCGAGAAUGGAAGUAGGAAAUACCCAACAGAUCCAAGAUACAGAUGUUAACUUCGGAAAGAGGUAGCCUGGAAAUACAUAAUAUGCAAAGCUGCAAAUGAAGGCAACCAUGAAGAACUGAUUCCGCGUUAAUCCUCCUUUCCUCCUCUCCUCUUUCUCAUGUAGCGCCCUGAACAGAGAUACUUGCACCAGAUUCUGGGGCCACCACAUAGCUGCAGGUUCCACCAAGUACCGCCGGAACAGGCCAGCCCACCCAAAUCCCAAUACCUGCGUCGUUAUAACCACCAGGAACGCCACAAUAAAAGUCAGCUCCUUCUUGUAGAAUAUCUUGAUGGCACUAACUAUGUGAAUGGCGUGGACGUUUCCAUCGCCAGAAUUAGCAAAGAUUGUGAUCAGCACGUGUUCCUUCAUAUUAAAUGGCCCCGGAUUGAGACUGAACUCCCACUUUGUCCCCUUGAAGAAGAACUUAUCAGUGAUUGUGGAGGCCAUGAGAUGGCCGAGAGGAACCACCGCUAUCUGAGCGGAGAUGGAACUGAUGGUAAGAGGUUCUCGGCGGUACCGGAAAAACUGGUUGAGGAAAGAGAGGAGGAUGCAGGCAAGAGUCCCCAGAGUCCACGUGCGGAACGUGAAGGUUGGUAGAGUAGGGUCGUCGGUGACGGGAACCAUGAGCGCGACUUGCUCGAUCGGAGAAUUCUCGUUCUCAUCGGAGACAUAGGACGUUUUGUUCUUCUGAAUGAGAGGAGUUGUGAAAUUGUCAGUAUUAGCUGUAAUCUCUUCCUCCUCCAUUAGUUUCUGGCGCUUCUCUGCUGUGCUGAUAAGUUUUAAAAUGUGACUUUUUAGCUGGAGCUACGGAGGCAAUGGUGAUGAAAAGCUAGGAAUUAG
rnacentral:misc_RNA from 1 species